rnacentral:rRNA from 1 species
GACGAACGCUGGCGGCGUGCUUAACACAUGCAAGUCGAACGGAAAGGCCCUGCUUGCAGGGUACUCGAGUGGCGAACGGGUGAGUAACACGUGGGUGAUCUGCCCUGCACUUCGGGAUAAGCCUGGGAAACUGGGUCUAAUACCGGAUAGGAGCCAUUUUUAGUGUGAUGGUUGGAAAGUUUUUUCGGUGUAGGAUGAGCUCGCGGCCUAUCAGCUUGUUGGUGGGGUAAUGGCCUACCAAGGCGGCGUCGGGUAGCCGGCCUGAGAGGGUGGACGGCCACAUUGGGACUGAGAUACGGCCCAGACUCCUACGGGAGGCAGCAGUGGGGAAUAUUGCACAAUGGGCGCAAGCCUGAUGCAGCGACGCCGCGUGGGGGAUGACGGCCUUCGGGUUGUAAACUCCUUUCGCUAGGGACGAAGCUUUUUGUGACGGUACCUAGAGAAGAAGCACCGGCUAACUACGUG